AGAUAUGCGCAGACGUAAGUAUGGACCGCUACUUCCUGUUCAAGUAUUUCGAAGAUGGUUGAAACGCAAACGUCAAACACCUCCUUAGAUUACUGUCGAAAUUUGCAGCGUGUUGCUAAUAUUUCGUUCGGAAAUAUCGAGGCAUUUAGUUCCAGAGGCUCGGCAAAACGCGACCAUGACAGUGGAUACAACUAUUUUGCCGAGAAAUAUUUAUUCAACGUGCGGGAUCACUCAGCAAGAAUCUUUUCAGAUAGAAAGGGACACAAGGCUGCAGUCAAAUAUUUUUAAUGUGUUAUAAUUUGGAAAUCCGGUAUAAAACUCUAUUUUUCCAUCAUCUUGUGAAAAACGUUCUAACCCAAAGUUUUCGAUUUUUCUGCUGCUGUCCAUUUGCAAAUGAUGUUCUAAUUGUUGUAUCCUCUCUUGAAGAACUUUUUUACUUUAUUCUCUUCUUUUGCCAAGGAGAGCUGCUCUUCAACAGAAGGGUUGUCUGCUGUUACAGACUCUGCAGCUGCUGUUGCCGGCUCUGUCUCUGCCGUUGCAGGCUCUGUUGUGGGCUUAGCAUCCCCAUUUUUGCUGAUAAGAAAAAACAUUUUACCACGUGAAAUGGCUGAUUUGGCACAGCUCACUUAACAUUGACAGGGAUUAACCCCUUUUGCUAUUUGAGGGUUUGAUGUGACAAAAAGAGGUUAACUGAAAAUAUGUUUUGACACCUGUCGAUAGUCAAAGUGUCUAAAUAAUAAUGACACAAUUGAUGUUCUUGUUCUUUGUUUAUGUUAUUAAAUAUUUUUAGCAAUGAAAAAAUUAAAUUUGAUAAUAAAAGUCACUUUGCAUUUA